rnacentral:rRNA from 1 species
UACGUAGGGUGCAAGCGUUGUCUGGAAUUAUUGGGCGUAAAGAGUUCGUAGGCGGUUUGUCACGUCGGAUGUGAAAACCCGGGGCUUAACCCAGAGCCUGCAUCCAAAACUAGCGAGCUAGAGUUCUGGAGGGGAUAGCGGAAUUCCUGGUGUAGCGGUGAAAUGCGUAGAUAUCAGGAGGAACACCGGUGGCGAAGGCGGUUAUCUGGACAGAAACUGACGCUGAGGCGCGAAAGCUAGGGGAGCAAACAGG